GACGAACGCUGGCGGCGUGCUUAACACAUGCAAGUCGAACGGAAAGGCCCUGCUUUUGUGGGGUGCUCGAGUGGCGAACGGGUGAGUAACACGUGAGUAACCUGCCCUUGACUUUGGGAUAACUUCAGGAAACUGGGGCUAAUACCGGAUAGGAGCUCCUGCUGCAUGGUGGGGGUUGGAAAGUUUCGGCGGUUGGGGAUGGACUCGCGGCUUAUCAGCUUGUUGGUGGGGUAGUGGCUUACCAAGGCUUUGACGGGUAGCCGGCCUGAGAGGGUGACCGGCUACAUUGGGACUGAGAUACGGCCCAGACUCCUACGGGAGGCAGCAGUGGGGAAUAUUGCACAAUGGGCGGAAGCCUGAUGCAGCAACGCCGCGUGCGGGAUGACGGCCUUCGGGUUGUAAACCGCUUUCGCCUGUGACGAAGCGUGGGUGACGGUAAUGGGUAAAGAAGCACCGGCUAACUACGUG
rnacentral:rRNA from 1 species